rnacentral:rRNA from 1 species
GUAUUUUGACUGUGCAAAGGUAGCAUAAUCAUUAGUCUUUUAAUUGAAGGCUGGUAUGAAUGGUYGGACGAGGUAAAAUCUGUCUUAWGUUAAUUUGUAAUUGAAUUUAGAUUUUAAGUAAAAAGACUUAAAURAUAUUAAGGGACCGAAGACYCUAUAGAGUUUAAUAUAUGUAGUURUAAUUGAGUUUAUAAUUAAUUUUUGAUUAUUAUGAAAUUUAUUUAAUUGGGGUGAUURGAAGAUACAAUAAACUCUUCUUUAUUUUAAAUAUUUUUAUUAGUUAAAUGAUCCAUUAAAAAUGAUUAAAAGAUUAAAUUACCUUAGGGAUAACAGCAUAAUUUUCUUUGAGAGUUCAAAUCGAGAAGAGGGGUUGUGACCUCGAUGUUGGAUUAAGAUAARUUUUGGGUGUAGAUGUUCAAAUAUUAAGUCUGUUCGACUUUUAAAAUCUUACAUGAUCUGAGUU